rnacentral:misc_RNA from 1 species
AACGCACAUUGCGCCCUUUGGUAUUCCGAAGGGCAUGCCUGUUCGAGCGUCAUUAUCACCCCUCAAGCCCCCCUAUGCUUGGCGUUGGAUGGCCGGUUGGAUCCUCGAUUCGACCCCUCCUAAAGACAAUGACGGCGGCCUGUGGUUCCCCCGGUACACUGAGCUUUUCACCGAGCACGUGCUGGACAAGGGUGCCCGGGUCACGGUCCUCUCCCUCCACGGGAAAAUUUAUCAAGGUUGACCUCGGAUCAGGUAGGAAUACGCGCUGAACUUAA